UCAGCGGCAGUCUCCUUCUCCCCGUCUCAAGCUGUCUCCAGCAUCUGCUGCCUUUUGUCUCUCGCUCGGUUUGCCCAAGUUUCUAAUUCAUAUUUAGUGCAUGAAUUUGUAGGUUGUUUUCUUUCCUCUCUCUAGGUUGGGCAUCCCAUGCCAAAAUCGAAGGUCACAGACCCCCAGUUGGUCAAGGAUGUAAGCUAGCCCAGGCGGCUGAAGAUUGUGCUCAGCCUUGCGCACGUUCUAAGACACUUGCACACCGAGAUGCAGCCUCUGUUCGCCGUCGACGUGCUGAUGUCCAGUUCGGUCUACCUCGCUGGAUAUUUCACACCAAAGGUCUACUCAUAUGUCCCAAUAAUUCAAUUUUUUGUUUCUACAAAGGUUCAAAGCAUGUCUGCACUUGCUAUGGAUUAAAAUCUUCUUUUGUCAAUGCUUGCUUUCUUAAGUCUGGAACUUCCUCCCAAUGGUGAAAUUGGAACAAAAUCCUGCAACUGCUCUUUAAUUCAGGACCUUUUCUUGCAAGGAAUAUGCUUAGCAUGUUGCUAAACUGAUGAGUUGAUGCCUUUGGUCGACAUAAAUGGAGUUCAAGUUUGUUUAAAAAGGGCUCCCCACCUAAUGUCGACCGUGGCCUGCGCUGAAGUCAAGAGACGCACAAUGCAAAUUUUGAUUUGUAUAGAGUGGAAAACUACUUUGUUCCAUGAUAUAAAACAUAUAUACGAUGAACCGUGGAAGGUGAUUUGUAUAGCCCCAGCCCAGCUUGUGACCACCCUCACCUCGCUUGUUGCCGUCCUGCAGCCUGCUCCACUUGUCACUGCCCAACGCCCCGCUUGUUG